rnacentral:rRNA from 1 species
AUUGAACGCUGGCGGCGUGCUUAACACAUGCAAGUCGAGCGGUAACAGGCGUAGCAAUACGUGCUGACGAGCGGCGAACGGGUGAGUAAUGCUUCGGAAUCUUCCUUGUAGUGGGGAAUAACCUGGGGAAACUCAGGCUAAUGCCGCAUAUGAACCAUGGUUGAAAGCGGGGGAUCGCAAGACCUCGCGAUAUAAGAUGAGCCGAAGUCGGCUUAGCUAGUUGGUGGGGUAAAGGCCUACCAAGGCGACGAUCCGUAGCUGGUCUGAGAGGACGACCAGCCACACUGGGACUGAGACACGGCCCAGACUCCUACGGGAGGCAGCAGUGGGGAAUAUUGGACAAUGGGGCAACCCUGAUCCAGCGACGCCGCGUGUGUGAAGAAGGCCUGCGGGUUGUGAAGCACUUUUAGUGGGGACAAAAAGCCGAGGGCUAAUACCUUUCGGUCUUGAUUUAACCCAAAGAAAAAGCACCGGCUAACUCUGUGCCAGCCGCCGCGGUAAAAC